rnacentral:misc_RNA from 1 species
CCUUUUAGUAUUAGACGAGCCAUCGAGUAUCAAAGAUGCAAAAAUCAAAAGACAAGGCAAACACAGCCAAUCAGAAAUUCUACUCGACAGACUAUGAAUACCAGAAAAACGUGAAUCUGAGCAUUGAAUACAAUCGUUGGUUAUUAAAACCAAUGGGUGUUUGGCCAAAUUCGUAUACAUUACGAUCGAAAGAUUAUCUGUAUUGGCUUAUAAAUAUCGUCUGUUACUCUUUAAUCAGUUUCCUCUUCAUUCCUUGCACGCUAUAUCUGUUCCUUGAAAUUGAAGAUUUUUACGGCAAACUGAAACAAUUCGGUCCUUUGAUCUUCUGUAUGAUGGCAUUCGUAAAAUAUUAUUAUCUAAUUGCCCACAAAACCGAUAUUCGCGAAUGCGUGGAAAGGAUCAAGUGGGAUUGGAAGAACAUCACAUACGCAAAAGACAAAGAGAUCAUGAUAACUUAUGCGAAUUUUGGACGAAAGCUGGUGGUCGUUUGUACGUUUUUCAUGUACAGUGGCUUCGCCUUUUAUUACAUCGCCAUACCGAUCAGCGUGGGCAGAGUCAAAACGGAUAAUCUCACCUUCAUCCCUUUGGUGUUCCCUUUCUCGAGAUUCAUCGUCGAUACCCGUUACAGCCCGACCAACGAAAUUGUAUUUUCCAUCCAAUUGAUGGCCGGUGCUUUGAUGCAUGGAAUCACAUCGGCUGCUUGCAGUUUAGUGGCUACAUUUGCGGUUCAUGCUUGCGGCCAGAUGCAGGUGUUGAUGAACUGGUUGCAACAUUUGAUAGACGGCCGAUUGGACAUGGACGAGCGUUUGGAUGGUAGAAUCGCGGACGUCAUAUGCCAACAUGUUCGAGUCCUAAAAUUUUUGGCGCUUACCGAAAAAACUCUACAGCAAAUUUCUUUCACCGAGUUUUUGGGUUGUACGCUAGAUAUAUGUCUGGUUGGAUAUUACGUUAUUAUGGAAUCGAAAUCGAAUGAUGUCACGAGCGUAAUAACCUACGUAAUUUUACUUAUAUCACUUACGUUCAAUAUUUUUAUAUUUUGUUAUAUAGGCGAGAUCGUUGCUGAAGAGGAAAAUUGGCGAAAUAUCGUACAUGAUCGAGUGGUACCGAUUGAUGGGGAAUAAAAAGCUUUUUUGCAUUUUAAUCAUCGCAAUGUCUAAUUCCUCGAUAAAAUUGACAGCUGGAAAUAUCGUGAAUUUAUCUAUCAGCACGUUUACCGAUGUGGUUAAGACAGCGGUAACUUAUUUAAACGUACUUCAAAAAACAACUUGAAAAUUUCUAAGUAUGUUUUUUUAUAUUCAUUGAUGUGCGUGUUUAAAAAAUCUUUACUGUUAUAUACUCGUUUUAUAUUUGUGCUUUUUAUACAUGUUGUUCCAAAUAAUGAGUGAUUGUUGAUUGUCUUGAAUGUUGAACAUUUUUUCUAUCAUUUAAAAGGAUGUAAAAAAUCAUGUUUUAUAAUGAUGUUAAUAAUAAAAAAAUG